rnacentral:rRNA from 1 species
UACAGAGGGGGCAAGCGUUAUUCGGAAUUAUUGGGCGUAAAGGGCGCGUAGGCGGCCUGGCAAGUGGAAGGUGAAAUCCCUCGGCUUAACCGAGGAACUGCCCUCCAAACUGCUUGGCUUGAGUCCGGGAGAGGUGAGUGGAAUUCCCAGUGUAGCGGUGGAAUGCGUAGAGAUCGGGAAGAACACCAGUGGCGAAGGCGACGUGCUGGGUUGCACCUGACGCUGAGAUGCGAAAGUGUGGGGAGCAAACGGG